CGAGCGCAACAGCAAUAUAAUUACGCGCGAGCGAUAAGGAUGGGUAGCUUGGGGUCAUUGGACAAAAUUCUACGUGCUCAGGGACCGAACUAUAUAAAUAAAUAUUUUAAAAUACUGAAAAUUAAUAUUGAAGUCUUUAGCGUGGACUAAAAACUUCAGAUAUUUGUAGCUAAAAUGGUCUAUUUAGACCAUAUAAUACGUAUUAUUAAAUUACCUAUAAAUCCUAUAUUUCUUUAAGUAUUUUUAUAUUUUUAACAAAGAAUCAUCGCGCACAUAUAACUUGCAUUUACAGUCACGAGGGCGUAAAGGACAAAUCACUCUUAUCAACCCGGAAACGGGUCGUAAUCGUAUCAACUCGAGGCGGUCAGUAUUCUUUGUAUGAAACUCCGUCCUGCAACGCACACUUAUGCGCACCGUAACGUAAACGCCUCGCCUCACGGUUGACAGUCCGGAUCAUCAACAGCCCUUUACAGUCCACUACUGGACUAUGAGCCUCCUCCACUAUAGUGGAGGGUUUUGCCAUAAUCCCCACGCCUGGCAGGCGGGUUGGAGAUCGCAGUUUAAAAGAUUGAUGUUUUUCAGAGAGCGCUGCUGCCCGUUCUCUGUUUGAUGUGUAGUCCCUAAGUCGCCUCUUACGCGUCCGGAUACGGAUCCCUUUUCGGGUUGAUAAGUGUGCUAUGACCUUGCCACCUGACGUUUCAGAAUCGUGGGACUAUAUUGAUAGUAGCGCCCUCCUGUUAAUGUCAUAGCUGGGACGAUUCAGUGUUGGACAACUAUUAUUAUUACCAAAUAUGAACUAACAAAAUAACUAUGUCAUUUGUUGUAAAGUCCGGUCGCCGAGCAGAUAGAAUAUAGUCCAAUGACCCCAAGCUACAAUACCCAUCACUAUCGCUCGCGUGUAAUUAUAUUUCUGUCGCGCUCGCACACUCACUGCGGCCGCCAGUCGCGACAGCAAUAUAGUUACUUGCGAGUGAUAAGGAUGGGUAGCUUGGGGUCAUUGGACGACAGUCUAUCUGCUCAGCGACCGGACUUUAGUACGUUAUUUAAUUAUAUGUGAAGCAUUUUGUGAUGUAUUUAUGACCGCAAUAACGCACACUAACUCAUUAUUGUAAUAUUGCAGUACCAUUUUACAAUAUACACUGCGUUGCAAGAAAAUCGUGCAUCCGAAAUAUAUGUACGACAGACAGUUGAACCAAUAGCAGCAGAAAAUACUUCUAUGUAUUACAAGAUGCAAACACGUGGCGUAACUGACUAUAGGUCUAGCUAGUGCAUAGCUCAAUCAAUGCCUGAGGUAUGGGAGCGGCAAGGAAAUGUGUUUUUGUUGACGUCAAACGUCAGCGAGACUUCAGAUGUGUUUGCUCUGUCACGUCAUAAUAUGUCAAUCCCCUUCCCCUUCGUAAUGUUUUUUUUUGUCACACGAUUUCUUUGCACUGCAGUGUAUUUCGCGCAACCAAAUAAUGAAAUAGUAAUACAAAGGUUACUUUAUUUUUUGUAAUAUACUUUUAUUAUAGACGUAAGUUUUGUAGAUAGUGUGGUAUAGUCAAGUCCUAUGACAAGUUAGGCCCAGAACAGACGGUGAAACGCAACUGCAACGAAACUGCAACUGCUAGUUACUUUUGAGUUGCAUCUAAGUUUCUGCCAUAGCGUCCGUUGAGAGACCACACAUGACGCGACCAGUUUGAAACUUUCAGUUUCAGUUUCAUUCAUAAGAAUCAUCAGAAAGUUGCAGUAUCGUUGCAGUUGCGUUUCACCGUCUGUUUUGGGCCUUAGGGGUAGUUUAAAAUGCGCUGGGGUGCAUCAUGAGUACGCUUAGACUUUAACACAAGGUAGUAAGGUUGAAAAUGCUCUGUUAAGAUUUAGUUAAUUGUAUUAAUGAUGUCAAUUAUAAAUCAAUUAAUUUUGAAACUUAACUAAAGAUUUUCAAGUUCAAGAUUAGUUGUGGAACUUAUUCACAUUCACAAACAUUACUAUGAGGUCUCCCAUUGCGCGUGGACGCACAGGAUGACACACGAACCAAUCACAGAGCUCCAUUCAACGCUGUGCGUUCGAUUUGCUGCUUCACUUAAGCAAGUAUCGUUUGUGAAUACAGGCGUUAGGAAGUGAACUCGCUAGCAUAACUAUUAUAUCUAUGUCAAUUUAUAAAACAUGGACUAAAAAUUUAUAUCAGAAAUGUAGGUACCUAUUUGUAUUUCUUGAAAUACUUGCCAUAUUAAUUAUUUUGUUUUAAAAAGGUGUAUUUUAAUGUAUUUAAUUAAUUAGAUAUUAAGUGCUCAUGAUGCUACCCCAGUUUGAAAUUCGUAUUUUGGAUUCAAGUCAGUAACUAUAAUUAUUUGAAAUAUUUAGACUCCCCGACUAUGGACUUUUAGUCGGCCGAUAGUUGGGUCGGGCUGUUAAUCAGUAUGGAUAUGUAUGGAAGUGCGCACAUUACACCGAUUUGGUAUAGGCUAAUUCCUCAUACAAAUGGAAGCCAAGCUUGCGACAAGGAAAAUUAGCCGUGCUUUUAAAAAAAAUUCAAUUUUGUGAAAAAUAUUAUUCUCUAGUCGUCGCACAGUCGCGACAGCAAUAUAAUUACGCGCGAUUGAUAAGGAUGGGUAGCUUGGGGUCAUUGGACAAAAUUCUACGUGCUCACAGAUAGACCCCCAUAAUCGGCACUUACUGCCCGUAGUGCAUAUCUUUUCUUAAAGGUUACAUAACCUUUGUUUUGUCUCCUGUCAUCCGCUUUACAAUGGAGGGCAGUCGAACCUUAACUUCGAACUCCUAGGUUCUUCUGAUUAAUUUCGUUGCGGGUCCAAUGACAGUUUAACUUUCCCCCGGGACAAACUUUACCUUCACAGGUUGGUUUUUAUUGGCGGUCAAGCUGUAGAUCCUGGCUACACAGGAGUUGCAGCGGUGGGAACGAGAGGUGGGAAUAGUCCCGUAAAAAAAGCUGAUUUAACUAUCGGCCGAAUGCGUGGAGUCAACCUGACUGGAUAGAAAAUCGUGAUUUCUUUUGAUGUUACGCUGGUCCUAGAUUUUAUAUACGAAGUAAAGUUUUUAAUGUUUGUGCAAUGCAAUAAACCUUACAAUGCAUUUUGUGUAAUCGUGUAUAGUAUAGUUGUUAAACUGCUGUAAAUCUAUGAACAUGUUAGUAAAAAAGUUGAAUAUUU